CCCAGCCAGCACGGAGACUCCCUUCUCUCCUUCCACCUUCCUCUUGCACCCUUCCCCAGUCCUCUUCCCUUACUUCUCUCGAAAGUGAAAAGGGGAAAAGGGAAUUUUUAAAAAGCAGAACAGAGGUUUGGUUUAUAUAUAUAUAUUUUCUUAUUUGGCCAUCCUGUGGCAUAUGGAGUUCCUGGGCCAGGGAUUGAAUCAAAAUCCUAGCCAGAGCUGCUGCAACAACAGAUCCUUAACCCCCUUUGCUGGCCGGGAUUGUACCUGUGUUCCUGCCGCUGUAGAGACACUGUAGAUCCCAGUGCACCACAGGGGGAACUCAUGGGUCCUAUUUUUGUCUGUUUGCUUUUUAAGGCUAUUUGAAGUCUCAGUUUCCAGAAGAGCCAGCAUUCAGUGGGGGUCACGGGGUCAGAAAGCUGUUCUGAUGGUGGGAUCAUGGAGAAUCAGAGAAGACAAUGUGGAUGCUUCCCCAGGCUGCCUCCAGGACCAGUCCCUGGGGACAAGGAGAGAGACAGCAAUCCAGGCAUGGGAGGGUCUGCGAUCAGUCACCCUGUCCAGAGCCCCCAGCCAUGACACCGCUGGAUCAGGGAUCAAACCACUGCAGUCAGAUUCUUAACCACAGUGCCACAGCGGGAACUCCUAAGCAGGUGACUCUGAAUGAAUGCAGCCUAUUCACCCAUGAGCCAUCAGUUCCAGUUCCUUCUGCAUCCUCCCUGUCUCAGAGUGAAGCCCACGUUCCCAGGAGGAAGUUCCGAAGAUGUUCUAGUCCUAACCCUGGACAUGGCCAGGCGCCAGGCCAUCCCAGCACAGGAUGCAGCAGCCAGGUGCCUUAGGGGACACCUGUUCUCCAGGUCUCCAUUGGUAAGAGAAUGGCAGCAAGUCCCACUGCUGUCAAACACAGGGUCACCUGACAGUUAGAGGAGGAUGACAACACAUCUUGCUUUGUGUGAGAAUGAGGAUGGUGAUGGCAGCUCCAAGCCCCUACCUUAGUUCUUGGACAGAAGGAAAGCAUCGUGUGGUGCUCUUUUCUCUCCAAGGGGCAGGAGGACUGCCCUUGGCUCGUCUGAGUUCUUCAUGGUUUAAAAGAAUCACUUCCCCUGAACUUGCAGUGAGAUACAGGCCAGCAGGCAUGGCACAUGAUCCACCACACUGUGGGUCCCAACCAGCAUACCUGGAACAGUUUCCUCAUUUCAACUUGUCAGUAUGAAAUUUUGCAAAAUCAAAAAGGAAGAAGAGAAAAAAAAGAUCAAACCCAUGUAGAACUGCUCCACCCAGAGCUAUUAACCACGCUGCAAUAUCAGUUGGCACUUUACCGUUGUGCAGUUUAAUGUCCUGCAUUAUUCUAUUAACACAUCAUAACAUUUUCCCAUCACAUUAUUGUUUUCAUGUUUGGCUAUAUUAUUGCUUAAUCACAGCUGGUAAUAGACCUUUGUGCAGAGGCCUGGGGGUGGGCUGGACAGGCAGGCUGGAGGUCUCCACUGUGGAGAGCUGGGGGGCCAGGAGAACUGGCACUGAGGGGAUGGAGGAAACGUAGACCAAGAGUCUGUCAGAUAUUUGCCUGUCUGCUCACUUAUUCCUGCCUCGCUAUUGAGGGCUCUGUUAGGCACCAGGCUCCCCUCCCAGUUCUCCUGUCGACACCUGCUGCAGGUGGUCACCAUCACUCCCUCAAAACCUUCCAGCACUCCAGACCCCAUCCAGUGCACCCCACAUCAACUCCAGAGGAAGGGGCUCCAUUGCACCCCAACUGGUAGAGCCAAGCCCAAGACUGGUACUGGUAGGAGCUUGGAAGUGUUUGAAGAUUGAGGGAGUGAGUGAACACAAAUAGUAACAAGA
rnacentral:lncRNA from 1 species